rnacentral:rRNA from 1 species
CAGCCGCCACGGUAAAACGAAGGGUGCAAGCGUUACUCGGAAUUACUGGGCGUAAAGCGUGCGCAGGCGGUUGUGUAAGACAGGUGUGAAAUCCCCGGGCUUAACCUGGGAACUGCGCUUGUGACUGCACAGCUAGAGUAUGGCAGAGGGGGGUGGAAUUCCACGUGUAGCAGUGAAAUGCGUAGAUAUGCGGAGGAACACCGAUGGCGAAGGCAGCCCCCUGGGCCAACACUGACGCUCAUGCACGAAAGCGUGGGGAGCAAACAGGAUUAGAUACCCGGGUAGUCCCUGUAUCUUAUAC